rnacentral:rRNA from 1 species
UACGGAGGGUGCGAGCGUUAAUCGGAAUCACUGGGCGUAAAGGGUGCGUAGGCGGGUUUGUAAGACAGAUGUGAAAUCCCCGGGCUUAACCUGGGAACUGCGUUUGUGACUGAAAGGCUAGAGUACGGCAGAGGGGGGUGGAAUUCCACGUGUAGCAGUGAAAUGCGUAGAUAUGUGGAGGAACACCGAUGGCGAAGGCAGCCCCCUGGGCCUGUACUGACGCUCAUGCACGAAAGCGGGGGAAGCAAAC